ensembl:lncRNA
GAAGACAAUCACUGACACCCUUCACAAGGAGGGUAAGCUACAAACAUUCAUUUCCAAAGAAGCUGGCUGUUCACAGAGUGCUGUAUCCAAGCAUGUUAACAGAAAGUUGAGUGGAAGGAAAAAGUGUGGAAGAAAAAGAUGCACAACCAACCAAGAGAACCCCAGCCUUAUGAGGAUUGUCAAGCAAAAUCGAUUCAAGAAUUUGAGUGAACUUCACAAGGAAUGGACUGAGGCUGGGGUCAAGGCAUCAAGAGCCACCACACACAGAUGUGUCAAGGAAUUUGGCUACAGUUGUCGUAUUCCUUUUGUUAAGCCACUCAACGUCAGAUAUAUAUACUGUAUAUAUAUUAGUGCCGCGAGCUCCGAGUAAACUUUGCAGUUUUUCGUUUGUUUUACUUGUUUUUUUUUUGUUGUUCAACGUGUUGGAUGUUGUUUGUAUAACUGUCUACGACAGGCACACGCUUCUAAACAUUGGUUCCUACGUUGCGGAACGCAAACUGGACUUUGAGUUCUUGAACGCUGUCGCUUUGUUUACAGACACCGCAUCAGAGCCCUUUGUCUGGGCUGCACGGGCGCAACCGAGGAAACGCCGCCGGAAAAGAGGGAAGAGAGCAGGCGUCCUUGUCAGACUCAGACGUCGUCCCCUCCGACCUCCUCUCCCAUCCAUUUUGCUGGCUAACGUUCGGUCACUGGACAAUAAACUUUGCGAACUGCGGGCACGUAUCUCAUACCAACGAGAAACAAGGGACUGCUGCAUUAUUUGCCUCACUGAAACCUGGAUGUCUGCAGUGGUUCCAGACUCAGCCAUCGAGCUUACGGGGUUCUCCGUGCACCGCUCGGAUAGAACGAAAGAGCUCACAGGGAAAAGCAGAGGUGGGGGCGUUUGUUUAUUUAUCAACAACUCGUGGUGUGAUGAAAGGAACCUACACUCUAUUAAAUCCUUCUGCUCCCCGAUCUGGAAUUUCAGAUGCUUCUGUGUCGACCAUUCUGGCUACCGAGGGAAUUCACAGCGGUCAUAAUCACCGCUGUUUACAUUCCCCCUCAAGCCAACACAGACCAGGCACUCAAGGAACUGUAUGGGAAUAUAAGUGAGCAGGAAACCGNNNNNNNNNNNNNNNNNNNNNNNNNNNNNNNNNNNNNNNNNNNNNNNNN